rnacentral:rRNA from 1 species
UAGGGAAUCUUCGGCAAUGGGGGGAACCCUGACCGAGCAACGCCGCGUGAGUGAAGAAGGUUUUCGGAUCGUAAAGCUCUGUUGUUAAGGAAGAACGAGUGUGAGAAUGGAAAGUUCAUGCUGUGACGGUACUUAACCAGAAAGGGACGGCUAACUACGUGCCAGCAGCCGCGGUAAUACGUAGGUCCCGAGCGUUGUCCGGAUUUAUUGGGCGUAAAGCGAGCGCAGGCGGUUAGAAAAGUCUGAAGUGAAAGGCAGUGGCUCAACCAUUGUAGGCUUUGGAAACUGUUUAACUUGAGGGCAGAAGGGGAGAGUGAAUUCCAUGUGUAGCGGUGAAAUGCGUAGAUAUAUGGAGGAACACCGGUGGCGAAAGCGGCUCUCUGGUCUGUAACUGACGCUGAGGCUCGAAAGCGUGGGGAGCGAACAGG